rnacentral:lncRNA from 1 species
GCAAGUUGGGGAGGAGAGGUUUAUUUGGUUUACACUUCUAGAUUGGUGUUCAGCGUUGAGGGAGGUCAGGAUAGGAAUGCAAACAAGGCAGGGACCUAGAGGCCGAAACUGAUGCAGGAACCAUGGAGGGGUAGAGUUUACUAGCUUGCUUCCCCUGGCUUACACAGUCUGCAUUUUUAUAGAACCCAGGGAUGGCAACACCUAAAAUGGGCUGGGCCCUCACCAUUGAUCAUUAAUUGCGAAAGUGCCUUAUAGCUGGAUCUCAUGGGAGGCAUUUCCUCAACUGAGUUGGCUUCCUCUCUUGAUGACUCUACCUAGCAUUGACACAAAAGCAGCUGGUACACUCCCCUUCCUUGAUUGAUUGUUGAUAGAGCUAGUCUUGCAUUGGCCCAGUGCAGGUCAUACAGUUGAUGGGGGUUAAUGACCAUAGCAGUUCUGUCAAAUCUAGGGAAUAAGAGUCAUAGCCCUUCAACCUGUCUUUCAGCUCCUACAUCCUACCUGCUCCUACUUCUGCAAAGUCCCCUGAACCUUAGAAGUGUAGUAUAAGAGAUCUUGGUUAGGGUGUUGCCUACAUCUCUCACUUAGAGUUACCCAUAAGUCUCUGUAUUCACUACUUCUCAUUGUAAGAAGGGGCUUCUCUGAUGAAGGCUAGGGGCUAUUUUUGUCUAUGGGUAUAAGCGGAGGUGUUUAGAGGGCAGUUUGCUCCUAUUUUAACUUAAUUAUCAGAAAUAUGUUCCCCGUAUGGGUCUACUACCUCCCCAUACCUGGGUUGUCAGACAGGCUUACAGUACCAGGCAAUUAUUUUAAAAUGUUAUUGGAAUAUUCAGUAAAUCCAUACAGCUUACAAGUGUUCAUAUAAAUUUUUCCCAGCAAAAUAUUUAAGCAGUAGAAGAAAACAAAGGGGAAAUGGAAUCUGCCAUUUGUUUUAAAAUUUAAAGCCAAUAAAAUUCUCUCUUGGUUCCCAUUCUAUUUGAUGUGAUGAUUGCAUAAGCCAUCUGUCUUUGCUAUAAAUCACGAUGAAUUGUUCAAAAAUUAAAACUGUAAAACAAUGAUUUUGAGCUACCCCUUGACAACUUUUUCCAACCUUAAUCCCAGGCAAUGAAUUCAAUCUAGGGAGUGGUAGCUUUCCCCUCUCCAGAACCUGGUUAAAACUCGUGAAACAAUGACUAUAGCCUUUCGCUCUUGUCCCUUCAUUAACAUCAUGUUCAGAGACUCAUUAAUGCUAUUCUGUGUGUCAUGACUAUCACCUAUUUUUGCUAUCAUAGUCGACUUUAUAAACACACCACAGUUUCUUUACACUUUUCCCCACUAAGGACUAUUUGGAUCCUUUAGUUUUGGGAGCUCCAAUUGAAGUUGCUAUAAACAUAAGUUUCAAAAGGUUAUCUUUAUGCAGACUUAGUAUGAUUUGAAAAGGAAAUGUUAUCCACAGGCUGUUUGUGUCAAUCAUCUGAUGUGGCAGCCUUGUUUUGAAAGGCUGUGGAAUCUUUAGGAGGUGGGGAUACGCUAGAGGAAGUUAUGGUACACUAGCUACAAGCUUUUCAGUAAGUCAAAGUUGCAAAUAUUUUUGAGUGUAUUUCUUGUCUAAAUUUUGGUUUGCACUUAAAUGUGGGUCUAUUUUGAGAGGUUUUUUUUUCUGUAUAAUUCUAAAAUUUGAAAUUUAAUGCUUUAUGGGAAAAUAUUCAAAUAUUCUGUCAUUUGUGAAAAGAAUUAUCCUUUCUUCAUUAAAUUUCUUUUUCAUGUUUGCCAAAAAUUAGUUAAUAAUAUACAUCUGGAUGAGUUUCUAGCUUCUUUGUUUUUCCCCUAUCCUCAUUAUUAAGCUACCUGGUUGCAAAUUUUUUCAAAUAAAUCUCCAGACAGCACAAAAUCUCUUCAUUUAAAGAUAGAUAGCUUUUGUAUUCUUUUGUAGUUUUGCCUUGCCUUAUGCAUUUGGAGUCACCUUGUUGAUGUCUAUUAAAACUAUCUUGUAAAAUUUUGAUUGACAUACUCUACUAGAAAACGAUCAUUUGAGAAAGUCCUCAUUUCACGUAUAAGAUAAAAUAACUAAUAUUGUUAAAGUACAGCCAUUAAAUAUCAUACUAAAUCUUAUGAAGAUAAUUGACAAUGUCUUUUUACAAGCUUUUCAUAAAGUCUAAUGAUAUUGGCUUUGAACCCAAACUGUCAAAUUAAAUGGUCAUUAAUUUUAAAUCUCUCAGGAAGAAGUUACUAUUACACAUAGAGUUUGACAGGGCAGUGGUGGUGCACACCUUUAAUCUUAGCACUCAGGAGGCAGAGGCAGGGCAAUCUCUGAAUUCGAGCCCAGCCUGGUCUACAGACCAAGUUCCAGGAUGGCCAGAGCGAAAGGCCAGAUACAACCCUGUCUCAAAACAACACCACCAAACCAAACAAAACAAUACAAAAC